CCAGACUCCUACGGGAGGCAGCAGUGGGGAAUAUUGCACAAUGGGCGCAAGCCUGAUGCAGCCAUGCCACGUGUAUGAAGAAGGCCUUCGGGUUGUAAAGUACUUUCAGUCGGGAGGAAGGUGGUAAGGUUAAUAACCUUAUCAAUUGACGUUACCGACAGAAGAAGCACCGGCUAACUCCGUGCCAGCAGCCGCGGUAAUACGGAGGGUGCAAGCGUUAAUCGGAAUUACUGGGCGUAAAGCGCACGCAGGCGGUCUGUCAAGUCGGAUGUGAAAUCCCCGGGCUCAACCUGGGAACUGCAUUCGAAACUGGCAGGCUGGAGUCUUGUAGAGGGGGGUAGAAUUCCAGGUGUAGCGGUGAAAUGCGUAGAGAUCUGGAGGAAUACCGGUGGCGAAGGCGGCCCCCUGGACAAAGACUGACGCUCAGGUGCGAAAGCGUGGGGAGCAAACAGGAUUAGAUACCCGAGUAAAC
rnacentral:rRNA from 1 species